AUGUGUUCCGAGGGUGACAAAGGAAGCUCAGAUCCUCUGGAUUCCUGGCAAGACCCUCCACCUCGCUCUCCCCCAUGCUGGCCCUCACAGCCUCCUCUUCGCUCUUUGCUUGGAGAAUCUCAGGAUCCAUCUCACCAUUUCCCUUGCAUCACAGAUUGAGUUUCCUGAGCAGGAGAUUUGAACACAGAUGGUUCACUGGGGAGUUCUCUCAGCAUCGCCAGCUGUCGGGGGAAUGGAAGGCAGCAGAAUGGGCCCGGGCAGAGUAGUGGCAGCAGAGGCCCGCAAAGAUCCUGUAAUGCCAGGAAGAGUUCCGAAACUUUGAUGAUUUUUUAGAGUGGCUGUGAGCAAGAUAUAAAUGGAAAUACAGCCCAGGUGGUUGUGGACAGCCAAAAUAGAACUUCUAGAAGUGAAGUUGACAAUGACAAGGGCAGACAGAUGUAGAGUUAACCUGGUCUUGGAGGACAUUGGUGAGCAACUCAAUCAAAUUAAUCCUGAAACCAACCCUACCUCUAGCACUCGUCAUAAUCUAAAGGCUGAAUACUUUCCUAUUCAGCUUGGAGAGUACUUCUUUCAUCUCCUGGCCCUGUAUCUUGAACAGUCAAAUAGAAUUAUAAGAUGCACAUUAAAGUUGGGAAUAAGAACAUCAUUUUCUGCUUUUGGUUUAUUCAUAUCAGAAAAAGCAGAGGUCCCAAGCCAUCUAAUGUCACUGAUGCAGUAUCCAGAGAGUCUCUCAUUUCAAUAACUUCCUAUAAGGAAGACUGGUUUGAUUUUCAAGGUCCCUGGACUACAGAGAACGUGAGCUCUUGCUGCAAGUCACCUGCCUCUAAGAGACAUAAAUAACCACAACUGGCAGAAAAUAAAGCAGGCAAUCUCUGGAAAUGCCUGGAUAAAUUAAAAUGAAAUACAACCCAAGACUCCAGCACUGUAGACUCCGUUGAAUGCUGUGUUGCCAGUCAGCAGCAACCAUUUGGAAAAUGACAGCCUCUACUCAC
rnacentral:lncRNA from 1 species